rnacentral:rRNA from 1 species
CAGUAGCCGCGGGAUACGGAGGAUCCAAGCGUUAUCCGGAAUCAUUGGGUUUAAAGGGUCCGUAGGCGGUCUUGUAAGUCAGUGGUGAAAGCCCAUCGCUCAACGGUGGAACGGCCAUUGAUACUGCAGGACUUGAAUUAUUGGGAAGUAACUAGAAUAUGUAGUGUAGCGGUGAAAUGCUUAGAGAUUACAUGGAAUACCAAUUGCGAAGGCAGGUUACUACCAAUUGAUUGACGCUGAUGGACGAAAGCGUGGGUAGCGAACAGGAUUAGAUACCCCUGUAGUCCCUGUCUCUUAUACA